UACAGAGGGCGCGAGCGUUGUCCGGAAUCACUGGGCGUAAAGGGCGCGUAGGUGGCCACCAUAAGGCCGCGGUGAAAGUUCGGGGCUCAACCCCCGGAUCGGCCGCGGCGACUGUGGGGGCUCGGGUACUGUAGAGGCAGAUGGAAUUCCGGGUGUAGCGGUGGAAUGCGUAGAGAUCCGGAAGAACACCAGUGGCGAAGGCGGUCUGCUGGGGCAGUGGGGAUCGAAAGGUCCCUUUAACCGACACUGAGGCGCGACAGCGUGGGGGAGCAAACAGG
rnacentral:rRNA from 1 species